ACAAACUUAACUGUGAGUCAGGGUUAUUCUGUUUCAGAUUCAUCAACGGAUUCCCACAUAGCAGUUAAAGUAAACUCAAAUGGAUUAUCUUGAUUUUAAAUACAUAAUGUCAUUCAAAGUCUCAUGCCGUAGAUGUAACAUGGUGUGUGUUACAGAUCUGAUGGGGCUGUUUGACAAGCACAGGUUCAGGAAGCUGCUCCUGUUCAUCCUGAACUUUGAGGAGGGCGACCUGCGUACCCACCAGGACAUGGACCCCAACAGGACCAGCAUGAGAGGUGUUGUUCCGCCGGUUCGACCUGGGACCAGACAUGGAAUUCCCUGGCCAUGUCUUGGCCCUGUACCGCAGUGGCGACUACUUGGACCAGCCGUGCAUCCAGACCAUAAGACGGCUCAAGCUGUAUUCUGAGUUUAUGGCUCACUAAAACUGCAGUCCCUACCUCUUUCCAUUGUGUGGGCUAGGGUAACUACCCAAGGGCUUUGCCAGCUACGUGCUGGGUGAAGAAGGUGGGCCAGGUUACACAGGUCAUCUGUUCACUGAAUCAUCCAAUCAAAUACACCCAUGAUGCCAACUCCUGCCAAAUCAUCAUCCCUCAAGCAAAGUCCACAGGAAAUCAGACAUCUAUGUAUGGUGUACUACGCUCACAACAUGGCGUCAUCGGGGAUGUAUAUCGCCAUGGUGAGCACCACUGUAGAGACCAGUAACCCAGAGAAGUAAGUGCAGCCUGGGAUGGAACUGCUGGAGCCCAUUCAUCAGAGGUAAGUUUUACACAACCAUGGCCUAAGGUGGUCUAGCAGUCUUAGCCACAGCCCCCGGCACAAAUGUUUGCAGUGUUGGCAUACGUUUGAAUCCGGCUACUGCCCUUAGUUUACAGAUUUGUUUCUGUCAGCAACAUGAUGGUCCCUAUUGAUGAUGGAAGGAAAAUUCAGGUAAGGGGCUACCUUCAAUAUAUUGUAUUGUCCUUAACCCCACACCUAGUGACCUAGCCAAGAGGUUCAGAUCUUUUUGUGUUCGAGUCAGGUUUCAGGUCCUGGUCGGGGAUACUCCCUUAAUUCGAUACACGUUAAGGACUUGGAAUAGAGAAGCAUGGGAACACACUCUCCUGAAAGAAAGGAGGUAGUGUAUCGACCUUAAGCCAACACCUAUCAACCUUGUUGAGAGGUUUGGAUCUCUUGGUGUAACUGCUAACGGGUUGACAGUCGCUGGACCUGGGUUCAAGCCCCGGUCGAGGAUACCCACCGAAUUCACUAUAAUAUAUCAAAAUUGUUUCAUUAUUCUAGGCCAUUGAGUUGUACCAGGAUUACAAAUUGUGGAGACUCCGGUGUUGUUUAUUUUGAUCCCAUCUCCCUUGUUCAGAUCUUUGUGUCUCGCUCCUAUGACGCCACGACACACUUUGAGAGGACAUCAGGGAUUUGCAACACAGGAUGAGAAUUCAUCUUUGGUGACUUGUGCAAAAACUGUGAUGAUGGUGACGUGAUGAGGACAAAAGGGCGUUCCUCCCAUUUUGAACGUUGGUUCGAUUCCCACUUGGGUCUCCUAUACAAAAAUGUAUGCACAUGCUUGGACAAAAGCGUCUGCUGAAUGGCAAAUAUGACAAAAAUAUUAUAUUGCGUUAAAAAAUAUAUAUGUUUUACCUUUAUUUAACUAGGCAAGUCAGUUCAGAACAAAUUCUUAUUUUCAAUGACGGCCUAGGAACAGUGGGUUGACUGCCUGUUCAGGUGCAGAACGACAGAUUUGUACCUUGGGGGUUUGAACAUGCAACCUUCCGGUUACUAGUCCAAAGCUCCAACCACUAGGCUACCCUGCCUGUCAUGUGUUUUUUAAGCAGCCCUUAUAUACAUGUUUUACCUUUAUUUAACUAGGAAAGUCAGUUAAGAACUAAUUCUUAUUUUCAAUGACAGCCUAGGAACAGUGGGUUGCCUGUUCAGGUGCAGAACGACAAAUUUGUACCUUGUCAGCUUGGGGGUUUGAACUUGCAACCUUCCGGUUACUAGUCCAAAGCUCUAAACACUAGGCUACCCUGCCUGUCAUGUGUUUUUUAAGCAGCCCUUAGAUACCUUGUGUAUCUCCCAGAAUUCCCUGCUUGACAGCUACUGUAUGUCAUUGUAAAUGUUCCAUUUAUCAUGUGGUAGAUGCUCUUCUACUCUCUUUGAUGGUAUCGAGACUGGAGAGUGGCACGCUAAAUAAUUUCCUGUUGAUUUAAUACCCUGUCUAAUAAACACCACACUUAAUUUGA